UGGUGAUGUGAUUCUGGAGAGUUCUUUUGAUCCUGUGAUUGAGGGAGAUACUCUGACUCUACACUGUUUACAUCGAUCUACAAACUCCUCGAUCCUCAGAGCUGAUUUCAGAGGUUCAGGUCAGAUUUCUGUUUUCAGCAUCCUCAGUUUUCUUCUGGCAGCUUGUCCGUAUCUGCUGUCGACAGUCGUGCUGCUGUUCAAAUGUUACAGAGCGAGAGUUACAUGGACUGAAGACCGAAGCCAGUCCGCUGUAACAGAGGAAUAAUCUUCAUCUCUUCUCCAAACCGCACACAGAGUCACAGGAUGCUGGAGUCUCAGACUGAAGACUGAAACACACUGGACACGAGCAGUCCAUCACAAGACUAACAGACAAUGCUCUUCAUGUGUGUCACAUUCACAGUAAACUACUGAAAGACACCCUUUAAAUACUAACAACAACAAUUAGGAUAUCAAAUCACAUCUGAACAACAUCUUUUUAUGCUUUCUGUGUAUGAAUAAAAGGAGUUUUAGUUUAAUUCUAAAAAUGUCUAUUUGCCGUUAAAGCUUUCCUGAAU